rnacentral:rRNA from 1 species
CGUGUAGGCGGGCAAUCAAGUCAGAUGUAAAAGGCGACGGCUUAACCGUAGUAUGUCAUCUGAUACUGGUUGUCUUGAGUUCGAGAGAGGGUGGUGGAAUUCCCGGUGUAGUGGUGAAAUGCGUAGAUAUCGGGAAGAACACCUGAAGCGAAGGCGGCCACCUGGAUCGACACUGACGCUGAGGCGCGAAAGCGUGGGUAGCAAACA